rnacentral:snoRNA from 1 species
UUGCAGGUUAAGUUACAGCUUAGCAGAUAAGUGCUCUGUUGUCGUUCCCCCUGCAGAAAUUGAAUUGUUUCAUACUAUCCCUGACUGCUUUCCUCCUCCAGCUGGCAGGGACGCUUGGGAACGAACAA